UAGAUACCCGCGUAGUCCAUGCCGUAAACGAUGUGUGUUAGACGUUGGAAAUUUAUUUUCAGUGUCGCAGCGAAAGCGAUAAACACACCGCCUGGGGAGUACGACCGCAAGGUUAAAACUCAAAUGAAUUGACGGGGACCCGCACAAGUAGUGGAGCAUGUGGUUUAAUUCGAAGAUACGCGCAGAACCUUACCAACACUUGACAUGUUCGUCGCGACUCUAAGAGAUUAGAGUUUUCGGUUCGGCCGGACGAAACACAGGUGCUGCAUGGCCGCCGUCAGAAGG
rnacentral:rRNA from 1 species